AGCAUGGUACGAAUGCUGGUCAGGAUUACAUCUUUCUUAAUGGCUAUCAUCCUGGCUAUUUAUUUGCCAUGCCACCCU
rnacentral:Y_RNA from 1 species